UACGGGGGGGGCAAGCGUUGUUCGGAAUUACUGGGCGUAAAGCGCGCGUAGGCGGCUUUUCAAGUCAGACGUGAAAGCCCCAGGCUUAACCUGGGAAUUGCGUUUGAUACUGUUAAGCUAGAGUGUGGAAGGGGCUACUGGAAUUCCGUGUGUAGCGGUGAAAUGCGUAGAUAUACGGAGGAACACCUGCGGCGAAGGCGGGUUGCUGGGCCGACACUGACGCUGAUGCGCGAAAGCCAGGGGAGCGAACGGG
rnacentral:rRNA from 1 species